UUAAGGUAACAAAGUCUAAUCAAUGUCAUGAUUGUAUAAUUGAACUUAGACAAGGUAACACGGUGAGAGGGCAUUAACUUCGACCCGUUAAUCUUAACAGACAAGCUCGCAGCAGCAAGGCCUUAUUAGAGUCGAUAGGCAAUAUAACCAACGAAGAACAGUAGAUCAAACUCAGGGGACACAAGAUUUUAAUGUGGAAAACCCUUCCUCCUUGGAAGAGGAAAAACCACAGGCGCCAGCCAACAAAUCUUCACUAUAUCAAGUGAGGUUACAAACGUCGGGGAUUUACAACUAUUUCAACUUAUCCCAAAUGGCGGCCGCUCCGUCCGAAAUCGACCUUUAUGUAUAUAUAACUGAAUUUGGAUCAUAACUCAACAAACUCCACCUUGAGACAAAUUCCUUCUUGUAGCAUAAAAUGAACCUUCACCCUGAAACAACAAAGAGAACACUUUCGGCACCAAAUAGCCUCAUGGGCAAAAUAGUU
rnacentral:lncRNA from 1 species